rnacentral:rRNA from 1 species
AACAAUCAGUUUUAGCCUGAAAGUUAUGAAUUUAGAUUUACAAGCGAUAUUAAAAACAUUAUAUAAUCAAGUAAAGGUGAUUGAAACUUAAUGUAUAAGGCUAACGUCAUAGUACCGAGAGGGAAUAAGAGGUAUUAAAUUAAAGAAAAGAAGAUGGUAAUUUUCGUACCUUUCGUAUCAUGGUUUAGCUAGAGUUGAACUUUAGAUCAAGUGUCUCGAAAUCUAAUGAGCUAUUUUAAGCUGUUAUUUUAGUAAUUCAUAAGUAGUUGUGGCAAAAACUUUUUUAAAGUUUAAAAUAGAAAUGAAAUUUUAUCCGCAUUAGAUGAUAGCUAGUUCUUUCAGAAAAGCAUAGAAGUGCUUGGGAUUAAGAGUUUUAAAUUAGAAAUAAUACUAAUACAAGAGUCUAAUUCUGGUAGAUUUUAGAGGAUGAGCUCUAAAAUUAUAUCUGAAGUUAUAUAAAAAUUUUCCUAUCAAAUUUAAGCUUGAAAAUAGCUUUAAUAAUAAGAUUUUGUUAUAAUUCCAUUUUAAUUUCAAUAAAAUAAGAUUGAUUUAUUUUUAGGUAUGAAAGUUAUGUUAAUAAUAAGAGUAACUUAAAUCAAUGCUAAAAUGAGUAUCUACUCCAUGUUAUGUGAAACCUAAUUAAUUUAAAUUAAUUAGGAUCUUAGCCAUACUAUUAUUAAUCAAUUAAAUUAUAUAAAGGAACUCGGCAAAGUUAUUUGUUCCGCCUGUUUAUCAAAAACAUGGCUCCUUGAAAUCUAUAGAUAAGGAGUCGGACCUGCCCAGUGAAUAAUUUUUAACGGCCGCGGUACUCUGACCGUGCAAAGGUAGCAUAAUCAUUUGCCCUAUAAUUGAGGGCUAGUAUGAAUGGUUUGACGUGAACAAAACUGUCUCUAUAUAAUUUUUUAGAACUUGAUUUUUAGGUGAAGAAACCUAAAUAUUAUUGAUAGACAAGAAGACCCUAUUGAGCUUUAAAAAAAUAAAUUGAGAAUAACAUAUAAUUUUAGAUAUUAAUCUAUUUAAAAUUUUGGUUGGGGCGACUGUGGAACAAAUAAAGCUUCUUUAAUAUCAAAUAGACCCUCAGGUGUUGAUCCAGAAAUUUUGAUCAAUGGAAUUAGUUACCAUAGGGAUAACAGCAUAAUUUUCUUUGAGAGUUCCUAUCGAAAAGAAAGUUUGUGACCUCGAUGUUGGACUAGAAUAUCCUAAAGAUGCAGCAGUCUUUAAGGGUUGGUCUGUUCGACCAUUAAAAUUCUACAUGAUCUGAGUUCAGACCGGCGUGAGCCAGGUCAGUUUCUAUCUUCAAUUAUGACGUUUUAAGUUUAGUACGAAAGGACCAAUUUAAAGUAAAAUUUGUUGAUAAAGAUACAAUAUAAUAUAAGAAUGAAUGAUUUUAUAUUUACAGA